rnacentral:snoRNA from 1 species
UGUGAGGGAGGUCCUUUUUAAAAACAAUAAUAUUAAAAUAUGAAUAAAUUGGAAACGCCUCAUAGAGUAACUCUGUGGUUUUAUUUUACCCACAGGACUAUUGUGAGAUAAAGAACUACAAGAGCAUU